GACGAACGCUGGCGGCGUGCUUAACACAUGCAAGUCGAACGAAGAGCGACGGAUGCUUGCUUCUAUCAGUCUUAGUGGCGAACGGGUGAGUCGCGAGUAACCAACCCGCCCUUCAGGGGGGACCACAGGUAGCAAAGGCUAAUAACUACCGCAAACGACUUAUUCUCGGCAUCGAGGAGGGAGUAACGGCGGCUUCUACUUGAAACGCGUCUGAGCAGCUGGGUGGUGGGGUAGUUGAUCACCAAGGAGAGGAAGAGUAGCCGGUCGGAGAGGAUGAGCGGCCACAUUGGGACGGAGACACGGCCCAGACUCCUACGGGAGGCAGCAGUGGGGAAUCGUCCGCAAGGGACGAAAGUCUGACGGAGCAACGCCGCGGGAGGGAUGACGGCCUUCGGGUUGGAAAGGUCGGUUAAUCGGGACGAAAGGCCUUCUUGCGAAUAGUGAGAAGGAUUGACGGUACCGGAAUAGAAAGCCACGGCUAACUACGUG
rnacentral:rRNA from 1 species